GCCAGUGUGGUAUAGUGGUUUGAGUUUUGGACUAUGACUCUGAAGACCAGGGUUCAAACCCCUGCUUGGCA